CGUAGGGUGCGAGCGUUAAUCGGAAUUACUGGGCGUAAAGCGUGCGCAGGCGGUUUGUUAAGAUAGGCGUGAAAUCCCCGGGCUCAACCUGGGAACUGCGCUUAUGACUGGCAAGCUAGAGUACGGCAGAGGGGGGUGGAAUUCCACGUGUAGCAGUGAAAUGCGUAGAGAUGUGGAGGAACACCAAUGGCGAAGGCAGCCCCCUGGGUCGAUACUGACGCUCAUGCACGAAAGCGUGGGUAGCAAACAGGAUUAGAUACCCUGGUAGUCCACGCCCUAAACGAUGUCAACUAGGUGUUGGGAGGGUAAAACCUUUUAGUACCGGAGCUAACGCGUGAAGUUGACCGCCUGGGGAGUAUGGUCGCAAGGCUG
rnacentral:rRNA from 1 species